ACCCGUUUAGCGCAAUUGGUUAGCGUACGAGACUUUCAAUCUUGUGGUUGCUCGAGCCUCAUCGGGUU
rnacentral:tRNA from 1 species